rnacentral:lncRNA from 1 species
ACCUACUUAGUUUUCUCUGUUCUAGACGCCCUCAUUCCACCCCCGCUCGGCCCAGCCCGGCGUCCUCUACCCAGGCACGGCUGAGGUUUACCAAGCCCGGCCCGGCCUGGAGAAAGUGUUUCUAUAAGGGGGAAGGGAGGUCCUUCCCACCAAAGCGGAAGCGGCGCGCGCCGGCCGGGCAGACUUAGCUCGCGUCCUGGGAACAUCUGGAGGGGGCUGGGAGGGGCGCGCAUCCAGGCUGAACGUGGAUUGGCUGCUAGGGAGGAGGGAGGCGGGGUCAGGGCCAGGGGCGGGGCUCCCCGGCCCCUUUAAAGCCUUGACAUCAGGAGGCGGCUCCGGCACCCCCCUUUCUCUGCCCCCCGCCCCCAAGCCGCGGCCAUGGACCUGGCGGAUCCGGCCUGCCCUGGCCCAGCUCAACACCUGAUUUCGGCAAGGUGACCGUUCUGGAUGCUAGAGUGAGUGUGCCCACCUGCGUAAGGGGGCAGAGACAGGUGAGGGGCUUUGGGGCCUGUGCAUGCUGGGGGUGGGAGAGG